GGGAAACACGUCACCCAGAGCUGUCCCACCUGCAGAGCUCUGGGUCCUGGCCAGGCACUGUGUUCCCUUGGGGGGUUUUGCAUGGCUGAGGAUGAGACUCUCCGUUGCAAGGAGUGACACGGAGCAGGUUCCUCCAGAUCAGAGCUCCACUGUGAACCAACCGGCCGAUCCACGCAGACCGUGGCCACGCGCAGCCCUCACACCGCCGGCCCCUUCGCCCGCAUUGCCCCAGCUUGGUGCACCCCUUUGCCGCAACACUGCUUGGCCAAAGCACGGGAGGAGCUGCGAUCCACGCCUCGCUGAGACCCAUGCGCUUCUUGGAAGGGCACCCCAACCUUCCCCCAUCCUCCUCCGAGCAGCCUUGCUGAGAUAGCCCUGAGCUCGCCAUGAAGCUGCUGAAGGAGCC
ensembl:lncRNA